GGUGGAAAGAGUUUACCAAAGAUGUCCACUAUGCAGAGUGAUGAUUCCUCUAAAUGUGGUGGAAAGAGUUUACCAAAAAUAUCCACUAUGCAGAGUGAUGAUUCCUCUAAAUGUGGUGGAAAGAGUUUACCAAAGAUAUCCACUAUGCAGAGUGAUG